AGAAGGCCCACCCAGGAAGAGGUUACAUCCAAUCAAGAUGACGUGAAUUUCCAUCCCAGGCAUAACAUGGAAAUAAGGACCUAGAGGAAAUGCUUGGCAUACUGGGAUAAACUUGAGAGGAGAGGCAGCCCCAGCUAAAACUGUGAAGCAAGGCAGCUUGGGUGCUGUCUCCACUGGAGACAUGGUCAGGAAAAGUAGACAAGAAAUGCCACUCUUGAGAAAGAAAAGGUA